AUGGCGACGGUGAGGCAGCGACGCGGGAAGAUCGUGGCGAUUCCCCGUGAAAAUGAUGACGCUCUUGCACCUGGAGAAGGAGACCGGGGAGCAGCAUACGUAGGUGGUCUCUACGAGCUGUACGCGACGUUGCCGCCAUGCGGAGAAGGAGGGGGGCUAGAGAGGGCCUUAUUCUUCAUAUGCUGUAGCUGGAUGAGCGGUAUUGGUCGAUGCAUUCCUCCGAGUCGUAGGCGAGCUCGCGGAGCUGCUUCAUCCACUCUAGGACGAAGUGGUCCA
rnacentral:lncRNA from 1 species